UUCUUUUACAAUUUUUUUUCUUUCUUUCUAUUCAUAUCAAUCCUGGAAAGUUUGAUUGAAAGAUUUUGCUUAAAUUAUUUCAGAAUUUUUUAUAUCUUGCUUUCUAUUUUCAGUUGAAAAACAUUGAAAUAGAUCAACGCAUCGUAUAAAUUCAAAUAAUUUCAUUUAUAGUGACUGACAUACUAACCGGAUUAUAUGAUAUUGAAAAUAUAAUGGACAAAAAGCAGAUUUCAGUUCAAACUAAGUCGGAAAGCUGCCAAAACGGCUCGCGAUAUUAACGUUUUGAUCCUGGGAUCACUAAUGAACAUACUGCACAUAAUGGUGGUUUAAAAAAUCUCGAAGCGAUGAUGAAUGAAUUGAUCCAUGAAAUUCUAUCUUAUCCACUAUACUCAUCAAAUCUCUUGCCACCGAUUACCACUUUUUCAAGCACCUCGACAACUUCUUGCAUGAGAAAUGCUUCAAAUCUUGGAGAAAUGCUGAAACAGCAUUCAAGGAAGCAUUUGUCGUUUCUAGGAUUUCAGAAUUUUAUUAUUUUUAUUUAACCAGAAUAAAAAAACUUGUUUUUCGAUGCAAAAAGUGCAUUGAUUGCAAUGAUAUUUAUUUUGAUUAAUAAAGUUUUAUUUGAGGUAAGAUAUGUACAUUUGACUUUAACAAUUAAAAACCAUAAGAAUCUUUCUUCUCAAUUUAAUACAACAUUGAGAAAAAAUUUUUUCAUAUAUCUUACAUUUUUAAUGUCAUUAUGUUACUUCGUCAUUAGAUAAAUUUUUGGAACACUUGUUUUUUUGUCAAUAACGUCACACUUUGCAUUACCUCUUAGUAAAAUAAUGCUGCUAUCUUUUCUUAAAUUAAAUAAUUGAUAAGUCAAUCUCAUUAAUAAAUCAAAUCUCGUCGCUUCAUUAUUUACAAAUCAUAUCUCAUUAAUCAUUUAUCAUAUCGAUACUUAAUUGUAAAGGUUAAAUAAUUUUAUGAUUGGAAUUAUUUUCUUGUCUACUUAUUAAAAUCUUGUUUUAUUGUAUAAUUUAUCUGAAACGAUUCAUGUAAAAUUAUAUAAUUCUCUUUUGUUCUUUUUUUUUUAAUAUUAAAUAUCUUCAUGAUGUAAUAUCUUUUCUCAUACAUAUAAAAUCUUUUCUCUUGAUAAAUAAAAUGUUGUAUAUCUUUCUUUGUGAUAUAAUUUUUAUUGUCAUUUUUUUAGAUGAAUUAUAGUCAUUU